rnacentral:rRNA from 1 species
AUUGAACGCUGGCGGCAUGCCUUACGCAUGCAAGUCGAGCGGCAGCGCGGGGGCAACCCUGGCGGCGAGCGGCGAACGGGUGAGUAAUGCAUCGGAACGUGUCCUCUUGUGGGGGAUAACCAGUCGAAAGACUGGCUAAUACCGCAUGAGCACGAGAGUGGAAAGCGGGGGACCGUAAGGCCUCGCGCGAGAGGCGCGGCCGAUGCCGGAUUAGCUAGUUGGCGGGGUAAUGGCCCACCAAGGCGACGAUCCGUAGCUGGUAUGAGAGUACGACCAGCCACACUGGGACUGAGACACGGCCCAGACUCCUACGGGAGGCAGCAGUGGGGAAUUUUGGACAAUGGGGGCAACCCUGAUCCAGCCAUGCCGCGUGUGUGAAGAAGGCCUUCGGGUUGUAAAGCACUUUCGGACGGAACGAAAUCGCGCGGGUGAACAUCCCGCGUGGAUGACGGUACCGUAAGAAGAAGCACCGGCUAACUACGUGCCAGCAGCCGCCGUAACAC